CCUACGGGUGGCAGCAGUGGGGAAUAUUGGGCAAUGGGCGCAAGCCUGACCCAGCAACGCCGCGUGAAGGAAGAAGGCUUUCGGGUUGUAAACUUCUUUUGUCAGGGACGAAGCAAGUGACGGUACCUUUCGAAUAAGCCACGGCUACCUACGGGCCAGCAGCCGCGGUAAUACGUAGGUGGCAGGCGUUGUCCGGAGUUACUGGGGGUAAAGGGCGGGCAGGCGGGACGGCAAGUCAGAUGUGAAAACCACGGGCUCAACCUGGGAACUGCAUUUGAAACUGUUGUUGUUGAGUACCGGAGAGGGAGACGGAAUUCCUGGUGUAGCGGUGAAAUGCGUAGAUAUGAGGAGGAAAACCAGUGGCGAAGGCGGACGGCUGGACGGCAACUGACGCUGAGGCGCGAAAGCGUGGGGAGCAAACAGGAUUAGAUACCCUUGUAGUC
rnacentral:rRNA from 1 species